GGGUCAUUAGGUUCGUCGUGCCACCGGUACGUACUGGUCUCACUGAUUCCUCCUUCCUGAAGAACCGUAAUGCCAUUAAUUUGGUGUUGCGGGGAAACAGGACUGUUACUUUGAAAAAAUUAGAGUGUUUAAAGCAAGCUAACGCUUGAAUACAUUAGCAUGGAAUAAUGAAAUAGGACGAUCGAUCCUAUUUUGUUGGUUUCUAGGAUUGACGUA
rnacentral:rRNA from 1 species